CUUAUACCUAUCCAUUGGUAAAAUUACACUGCUUACUCGUAUUAGCAUACAUAACGCGCGUCUAUUCUUUUUCGGAGUGACUAUCUAAGCUCGCUUAUGAUAUAGUGCGAUACCUUAUGCAGCGGUCUAAUUUGGCAAAUUUACGAUAACCACUGCAGCAGUUCACCAUGUGCAAACGGCGGGACAUGUACGGUUGCUGGAACUUCGUUCAGUUGCCGAUGUGGUUCUGGUUUUACGGGAAAUACGUGUUCUAUGAUCGGAGCAAAUACCACCUCGGACACUAUAACGCAUGGAGAAAAAGUGGAAGUUCCAAUGGUUUAAUCGCGAUGUGUGUUUACGCCCCAUGUACGAUUUGCUUUUUAAAUGGUGUAUGUUUCGUUUACGUUCUUGAAAGAUAAUUGUACAAAUAUUGUGUUAUUGCAUUAUAUGGAAUUAAACAGGAACACUUUUAAAUUCAUAUGGCUGAAGACACUUACGAUGUUCGCUAAAAUAAAGUGAAGCAUAUA